AUAGAUCAGCUGAAAGAGCGCCUCAAUGGCAUUGAGGCGCUCUUUGGUUCGAGUCCGAAUCGGUCCACCA
rnacentral:tRNA from 1 species